AGUAAGCUGCCACCGGGUAGUGAAAUGCAAGAAGCAUUCGUUUACACAUCGUUAGGUCUUAGAAGAUGUGUAUGCGGAUGCUUUUCUUAA
rnacentral:ncRNA from 1 species